GACGAACGCUGGCGGCGUGCCUAAUACAUGCAAGUAGAACGCACAGUUUAUACCGUAGCUUGCUACACCAUAGACUGUGAGUUGCGAACGGGUGAGUAACGCGUAGGUAACCUGCCUGGUAGCGGGGGAUAACUAUUGGAAACGAUAGCUAAUACCGCAUAAUAUUAAUUAUUGCAUGAUAAUUAAUUGAAAGGUGCAAUUGCACCACUACCAGAUGGACCUGCGUUGUAUUAGCUAGUAGGUGAGGUAACGGCGCACCUAGGCGACGAUACAUAGCCGAACUGAUAGGGUGAUCGGCCACACUGGGACUGAGACACGCCCCAGACUCCUACGGGAGGCAGCCGUAGUGCAUCUUCGGCAAUGGACGGAAGUCUGACCGAGCAACGCCGAGUGAGUGUAGAAGGUUUUCGGAUCGUAAAGCUCUGUUGUAAGAGAAGAACGGGUGUGAGAGUGGAAAGUUCACACUGUGACGGUAUCUUACCAGAAAGGGACGGCUAACUACGUG
rnacentral:rRNA from 1 species